rnacentral:rRNA from 1 species
UACAGAGGUCUCAAGCGUUGUUCGGAUUCAUUGGGCGUAAGGAGCGUGUAGGCGGCCUGGAAGGUCAGCUGUGAAAACUCGAGGCUCAACCUCGAGACGUCGGUUGAAACCACCUGGCUAGAGUCCGGAAGAGGAGUGUGGAAUUCCUGGUGUAGCGGUGAAAUGCGCAGAUAUCAGGAGGAACACCGGUGGCGAAGGCGGAUCUCUGGGCCUUACCUGACGCUCAGGUGCGAAAGCUAGGGGAGCGAACAGG